UACGGAGGGUGCGAGCGUUGUCCGGAAUCACUGGGCGUAAAGGGCGCGUAGGUGGCGCGGGAAGUCAACGGUGAAAGUUCGGGGCUCAACCCUGAAUCGGCCGUCGAUACUCCCGGGCUCGAGCACUGUAGAGGCAGAUGGAAUUCCGGGUGUAGCGGUGGAAUGCGUAGAGAUCCGGAAGAACACCGGUGGCGAAGGCGGUCUGCUGGGCAGUUGCUGACACUGAUGCGCGACAGCGUGGGGAGCAAACAGG
rnacentral:rRNA from 1 species